UCCUGCCAGGGUCUGAGAGCUGCCCCAGCGUCAGCAGAGGGUGGGGGCCCCUCACCAGGCCAGAGAAGAGGAUUUAUGCUUUGCGAUUGGAUUCUAAGCUUCAUUUUCCUGGAACCAAGUAGAAUUUGUCCGGACUUCUGACCCAAAUUGCUCCGGACAAGUGGGGACCACACCGCCUGCUGUAACCUCGUAAGGCUGGAGAAGUCUGAAGCCAGAAAGGGCCUGAGCAUCUUCUGCGAGGAAUCCAUCCAGCCCGCCAGAGACAACCUGCAGUCAGUCCCCCACUCCCUUGAGUGUUAAGUGUUCACCCUAAGUGCAAGUAGUUCCCAAGAGGUGAGAACAUGCUCCUGUCUCCAUUCCAACCCCACAUCUUGUCUGGUGAUGAUCUCAGAUGAUGCCCCCUCCCUAACUCAAGCCUAGUUCCUUGCCAGCCCACCAAUUCACUGCUAUGACAUGCAUCUGAUUCUUCAAAGGUAUGGAGAAAAGUCAUUUUGUAGAAGUUGUAAGAGGAAA